CGAUUGAAUACUCGGGUAUUGCGUCAUAUUAAAUGUCAUUUUAUAUGCGUGUUUGAUUGUUUUGAAUAUUCAAGGUAUUUUGUGAGGAAAUGCAAGAAAAAUUCCAUUAAAUAUCAUAAAGAAAUUGCUGCAGAGAAACACAAGUCGAGAAGGCAAAACAACACGGUUGCCAUGCCCAUGGGAACAAAGAAGCUAAGCGCAAUAAUACAGCGAUUUGAUUCAGAUUGACCGACUGCAUUGACACUGAAGAUUGGCUUGUAGAAGUUGAAAAGGCGCGUUGAUGUAUCAUUGGGAAGAGAGAGUGAUAAUUCUUUAGGCAUCUAUGUGAUUGAGGAGACCAGCAAAAAAAAAUGGUUCAUUGAGCCAAAGCGAGGCUGGAUUCGUGGCAAAAAUUUCGCGAUGAAUUGUUGCAAUUCUUUCCUACCGUUGUAGAUUUAAGGGCAUCAUUGUUGACACAAACUUUGAAUCUCUCACGCAACUUCUCCGCGUGCUAAUUGAUGCGGAACAAAACACUGAAACAUAGACGAUUCCAAGCAAGACAGGCGCUAUUCCAAGCGCAACUCUGGGUAAAAUUCAGGGCGAUACCAUCCGUACCGCCAUGGCAAGAAGAAUGACAUUGGGAAGCACACAAGGAAGCCAAAAAGGAGAAUGAGUAGAAAAGCACCGAAGAUCGACGAAGCUCUGAGAACUUUGUUACAGAUGCAAGAAGACCGGACAUUUAAUUGCUCAGUGCCCAAAAAUCAGCGAAUCUUAAGUAAAUAAUUCCAAUGAAUUCCGAGGAGAGAUGAAGAUGAUUAAAUUAAAUUUCUUGGAGAUAUGAAACAAAGUAGAUGAAAUCAAUAAAAGAAUCUUAAGCCUACUGAGUGUAGAUCAAUGUGAGAUAGAAUAAAGAAAUUACAGAAAAGUAUUAUUAUUUAUUCGAGGUUUAAUUAGAUGUUUUUUCAAAACAAAUUUAAAAAGAUAACCUUAAGUUUACAGGAAAAAAGUGAAAUACAGAUCGCAAGGUAAGCCUGCUAAAUAGAUUGGAGAAUAAUUUCUUUGUCAUUUUAGAGAAUGGCCAUACAACGAGGAAGCAACAAAGAAAUGUGAAGGAUUUAAAAAAUAUCAAAUAUUAUAUGCUCCGCUCAGACACAAGCUAGAAGUAAUGAAGGAAGGGAAUCUCAAGCGUAGGACAGGAAUUGAGGACUGGAUAGAUAUUAAGGAAGGCUAUGUGCCAAAGUCAAGCAAUGGCUGUGUGCCGCUUGAAAGCUGAGUGCGCUAAACCAAGGAUUCAAUAUCAAGUAGAUGCAAUGAAGAAAAGCAACCUGAAGUGUAUAAAAGGAAUUAAGAACUGGAUAGAAGGAAGAAAAUCACUGGCCAAGUCGAGAGCCGAAGCAAGAAGACUUCGUCUUCACCUGCUGAGCCCCAGGCUUAGUUGCUUCACAGAGUUCAUAGUACUAUGUGUACUCGAUCAUGGAAAAAGGCAAAAGAUUAAAGAACACAAGAUGACAA